rnacentral:rRNA from 1 species
AUAUCAAUAAGCGGAGGAAAAGAAACCAACAGGGAUUGCCUCAGUAACGGCGAGUGAAGCGGCAAAAGCUCAAAUUUGAAAUCUAGUACCUUCGGUGCUCGAGUUGUAAUUUGAAGGUAGUUUUCUGGUGCUGGCCCUUGUCUAUGUUCCUUGGAACAGGACGUCAUAGAGGGUGAGAAUCCCGUCUGAUGGGGUGUCCAGUGCUUUGUAGAUUUCUACCGAAGAGUCGAGUUGUUUGGGAAUGCAGCUCUAAGUGGGUGGUAAAUUCCAUCUAAAGCUAAAUACUGGCGAGAGACCGAUAGCGAACAAGUACCGUGAGG